UGGGGAAUAUUGGACAAUGGGCGAAAGCCUGAUCCAGCCAUGCCGCGUGUGUGAAGAAGGUCUUCGGAUUGUAAAGCACUUUAAGUUGGGAGGAAGGGCAGUAAGUUAAUACCUUGCUGUUUUGACGUUACCGACAGAAUAAGCACCGGCUAACUCUGUGCCAGCAGCCGCGGUAAUACAGAGGGUGCAAGCGUUAAUCGGAAUUACUGGGCGUAAAGCGCGCGUAGGUGGUUUGUUAAGUUGGAUGUGAAAGCCCCGGGCUCAACCUGGGAACUGCACCCAAAACUGGCAAGCUAGAGUACGGUAGAGGGUGGUGGAAUUUCCUGUGUAGCGGUGAAAUGCGUAGAUAUAGGAAGGAACACCAGUGGCGAAGGCGACCACCUGGACUGAUACUGACACUGAGGUGCGAAAGCGUGGGGAGCAAACAGGAUUAGAUACCCCCGUAGUCCCUGAGCGGGCUGGCAAGGCGCAU
rnacentral:rRNA from 1 species